rnacentral:rRNA from 1 species
AUUGAACGCUGGCGGCAGGCUUAACACAUGCAAGUCGAGCGAGCGGCGGACGGUUGAGUAAUGUCUGGGAAACUGCCUGAUGGAGGGGGAUAACUACUGGAAACGGUAGCUAAUACCGCAUACCAUCAGAUGUGCCCAGAUGGGAUUAGCUAGUAGGUGGGGUAAUGGCUCACCUAGGCGACGAUCCCUAUCUGGUAUGGGAGGAUGACCAGCCAGCGUGGAACUGAGACACGGUCCAUACUCCUGCGGGGUGCAGCAGGGGGGAAUAUUGCACAAUGGGCGCAAGCCUGAUGCGGCCAUGCCGCGUGUGUGAAGAAGGCCUUCGGGUUGUAAAGCACUUUCAGCGAGGAGGCGUUAAUCGAAGAAUAAGCACCGGCUAACUCCGUGCCAGCAGCCGCGGUAAUUC